rnacentral:lncRNA from 1 species
UGCUAUAGUCAGCUCCUCAGUCAUCUGUUUAAAGGUCUGAGCGCCUUCACUGAUUGUGGAAGUUACAGGGAGUUGUUUUCUCCCACCUAGAGGUGUGUCGUUCAUUGUUGCCACUGAAGACCAGGCUGCAGUACAACAUAGGCUGGUCCAGCACCCACGGCAGGACAGGGCUGGCCUGCAGAGGCUCAGGCCAUCUGCUGCAUCAGAUAUGGCGUUAGCUCCUCUGUGAUAAUGUCUUAACAUAUGGAGACUUCACCCCAGUCGCUGCCUCCUAAGGAAGCCUCUGAAAACUGAAUUGCCUCCAGAGCACCACACCGAACACCGUGCCCCUCCAUGUCAGCAGUGGAGAGAGUACCCACGUUCAGAGGCUUUGACAGGACUCAGCAUCCAACAGCAUCUGAUGGAUCACCUAUUACAGUCUGAAGACUUUAAAUCUGUCCAAGAGUGGUUUCCAAAGCUCAGAAUGAACGAUUUUGUAAUCAGCAACCUGACUUCCAGAGCUGCUUGAUAGUACAAAAUCUCAUUAAAGAUAAAAGACUAAAAGAAAAGUAAGCCUUCCAAACAAUUUUCCAAUUAAAAUUGACUUUUCUGGGGGGAAACAGAACAAACCAACAAAAAACUGGUUAUCUGGAAAGUUGAUACUCUAAUUUCUCAAAUGCAGAAUCCUGAAACACCUGGUAUCACCAACUCCCAGCAAGAAGCAGCAUUACUGAACACUGUGGCAGAAGCCUGGAUUCUAGAAAGAUCAGGGAAAAAGAAGAAACUGCAGUAGAAACAUUUGGCUUGUCACAAUUGUUAUAUGGCACCGUAGCUGCAACUUCGUAAUGUGCAAUAAAACUGACAUGACGAGUUUUCUUUGAAAAGCACUUUGGUUCUGGAAUAAAAUCACAUGCAUCAAAAAUAUGGCAUAGCCUUCUGUAUUGCAUAAUGUAUUGCAUAAGAGAAAAUAGAGAAUAGCUGUU